CUCCAAAUGCCAGCUGCUUUGUUCAUUGUGGAAUGAGGUGUAGUUAAAUGUGUUUGUGUUUUGGAAAGGUAUUGCAUUACCUUACUCUCCACCUUUUGCUUUGGUAAUCAGUAAUCAGUAAUUCAGUAAUCAUCUCACUAAGUAUGCCUUUUCAUUUCCAAUCUGUUCAACAGAGUUAACAAGUCAGACCACCACUCCUCCGUCAACUUCGCCCACAUCUCUGCCAGUACCACCCCAGCAAGAUUUUUACAGACUUGUUCUGCAGCACCUCCGCACAAUUGAGGAGGAGCUGAAGGAGGUGAAGCAGCAGGUGGCGGUCAACACAGCCAUGAUACAGAGACUAGGUGGUGGUGGUGUGGCAGAUCUCGGCCUUGUGGAAGACACCAACAUGCCAUUGAGCAAUGCCGAGGACCUGGACGAGCUGGAGAGGCGGCUUAUAUCUGAUGUGGACCUAAAAAAUCAACUGGUGAACAUACUUGCUAUUUUGGGAGGGAAAACCACCAAAGACGCAGUGAAGAGGAUGCUGGGCCGGGCUUUCAGGAGGUCCCUGGCGCUCCAAAUUAAUUGGACUGGCGCAGCUGGAAAGAUCGCUUUCAAGUCCCUAAACCUGA